UACGAAGGGGGCUAGCGUUGCUCGGAAUUACUGGGCGUAAAGCGCACGUAGGCGGCUUUCUAAGUCGGGGGUGAAAUCCUGGAGCUCAACUCCAGAACUGCCUUCGAUACUGGAGAGCUUGAGUCCGGGAGAGGUGAGUGGAACUGCGGGUGUAGAGGUGAAAUUCGUAGAUAUUCGCAAGAACACCAGUGGCGAAGGCGGCUCACUGGCCCGGU
rnacentral:rRNA from 1 species